UACAGAGGGGGCAAGCGUUGUUCGGAUUCACUGGGCGUAAAGGGUGCGUAGGCGGUCGGGUAAGUCUGAUGUGAAAUCUCACAGCUUAACUGUGAAACUGCAUUGGAUACUAUCCGGCUCGAGGAAUGGAGGGGAGACUGGAAUACUUGGUGUAGCAGUGAAAUGCGUAGAUAUCAAGUGGAACACCAGUGGCGAAGGCGAGUCUCUGGACAUUUCCUGACGCUGAGGCACGAAAGCCAGGGGAGCAAACGGG
rnacentral:rRNA from 1 species